AACUGUUCCAGGAACCUACAGUAGAUAGGAUGGGACGGAAUGUGUCUUCUUCAAGGACUUUGCAGAGCAGCUCGAGCUCUGUGUAAUCCUCUAAAGCGUGGAGAAUAUCCGGUCAUAAUGUCAGCUCGUGUUUGUAGCGAUUGCUCUGGAUUUGAGGAAGUCACAUUGAUGUUAGAGCACACGAGUGAAACACGGGUGAAGAGCGAAUCUAGUGUGAGGCAGAGGAGCGUGGAGAGCACCGAGUCUCCGGGCAGAGACACUCUUUCCGAGCAGGACAGACUCGUUCAUAGUCUUCACCAGGACGCAUGCAAGGGUCACCGGGGAGCCUGGAGCCUAUCCCAGUGGACUCGGGGCACAGCAGUUCCUGGGGGACAGUGUACCAACCAUCGCAGGGCACAAUCGCACACACAUUCACACACUACGGACAGUUUUUGAAACGCCAGUCAGCCUACACUGCAUGUCUUUGGACUGUUGGAGGAAACCGGAGUACCCGGAGGAACCCCCCGAAGCAUUGGGAGAAAAUGCGAACUCAGCACUUACAGGGCAGAGGCGGGAAUCGAUCUACCAACCAGGGAGGCGUGAGGCAAGUGUGCUAACCACCAAUCCCUUACAAGAACGACUUAUAGAACAGCUUUGGAGUCUCCUCAUGCUAAUUCACUAGGAUAAAAAAGAAAAAUAGAAGGUAAAGCAUACAUCUGUGUGACAUUUACCUGCUGAAGACGACUCUACUGACUCUAACAACUUGCGCCGUGAGGGGGAAACCAAUGACGGAUAGGAAAUGGCAGAUUUAUUCUCAGAGAGGCUGGGAAAACAACGUACACAGACCCAGGAUCCGGCUACACAGUGUUCACAGAGGUUGCCCAUAAGAAAAGGGGGAGAUGCUGUGGAAACGCAUGUAGGCAUGUAAGUCCUGAUUCAUGUCCAUAUGGUCAAAUUAAUGUGAAGGACUCUUCUAAGAAGAAAACGUUCAACUCUGCCUUUUAUGUGUAGCUUUUUCUAAAAAUCUCUCAGUUGUUGUCAGACCUCCAGUCUUGCACUCCCAAUAAAGAUGAAAGUGGAAGAAACCAUGAGACAAGCCAAAGGACUGGAUAAACAGAUGAAGAGCAAACGCAGAUCUCAUUAAUGUAAUAUAUGUAACCUUCCACUAUCCUGAAUAAGUGUUUUUGUGAGUGCUUAUUUGGACUGAAUGUGCAUUUGCCUUACACUCCAUUUGAAAUGAUGAAAUAGUGCACAGCAGAUGUGUAACCCACGCUUCUCGAGCCUGUAAGAUGUGAAUCACACUGUGAUUUGUGUCAUCAGGUGUUGGUCUGUUCCUCAAUCCCAUGAAGGCAUAGAAGUGUGGAUUUGGUUGCAAAAUAAAC